rnacentral:rRNA from 1 species
GACAGAGGGGGCAAGCGUUGCUCGGAAUUACUGGGCGUAAAGGGCGCGUAGGCGGGAUGGCAAGUCGGUCGUGAAAUCCCCCGGCUCAACCGAGGAACGUCGAUCGAUACUGCUGUUCUUGAGGAUUGCAGAGGAGACUGGAAUUCCCGGUGUAGCGGUGAAAUGUGUAGAGAUCGGGAGGAACACCGGUGGCGAAGGCGGGUCUCUGGGCAAUUCCUGACGCUGAGGCGCGAAAGCGUGGGGAGCAAACGGG